AUUAAAAACCAAUGCCCUUCGGGGCUCUCUGGUGAUUCAUAAUAACUUCUCGAAUCGCACGGCCUUGCGCCGGCGAUGGUUCAUUCAAAUUUCUGCCCUAUCAACUUUCGACGGCUGGGUCUUGGCCAGCCGUGGUGACAACGGGUAACGGAGGGUUAGGGCUCGACCCCGGAGAAGGAGCCUGAGAAACGGCUACUACAUCCAAGGAAGGCAGCAGGCGCGCAAAUUACCCAAUCCCGACACGGGGAGGUAGUGACAAUAAAUACUGAUACAGGGCUCUUUCGGGUCUUGUAAUUGGAAUGAGUACAAUUUAAAUCCCUUAACGAGGAACAAUUGGAGGGCAAGUCUGGUGCCAGCAGCCGCGGUAAUUCCAGCUCCAAUAGCGUAUAUUAAAGUUGUUGAGGUUAAAAAGCUCGUAGUUGAACCUUGGGCCUAGCCGGCCGGUCCGCCUCACCGCGCGCACUGGCUCGGCUGGGUCUUUCCUUCUGGAGAACCGCAUGCCCUUCACUGGGUGUGCC
rnacentral:rRNA from 1 species